rnacentral:rRNA from 1 species
GAUCCUGGCUCAGGACGAACGCUGGCGGCGUGCUUAACACAUGCAAGUCGAACGGAAAGGCCCCGCUUUUGUGGGGUGCUCGAGUGGCGAACGGGUGAGUAACACGUGAGUAACCUGCCCUUGACCUUGGGAUAACUUCAGGAAACUGGGGCUAAUACCGGAUAGGAGCUCCUGCUGCAGUGGGUGGGGGUUAGGUAAAGGUUUCGGGCGGGUUGGGGAUGGACUCGGCGGUCUUAUCAGUCGUUUGGUUGGGUGGGGUAGUCGGUACUUACCGAAGGUCGUUUACGGG